GCAUUGGUGGUUCAGUGGUAGAAUUCUAUCUUGCCAUGUUGGAGGCCUGGGUUCGAUUCCCAGCCAAUGCA
rnacentral:tRNA from 1 species